UAAGUACUCCCUCCGUCCGAAAAUACUUGUCAUCAAAAUGGACAAAAAAAGAUGUAUCUAGAACUAAAAUACGUCUAGAUACAUCUCCUUUUAUCCAUUUUGAUGACAAGUAUUUCCGGACGGAGGGAGUACGUG
rnacentral:pre_miRNA from 1 species